GUGAGGAAUAUUGCGCAAUGGAGGCAACUCUGACGCAGCCAUGCCGCGUGCAGGAAGAAGGCGCUACGCGUUGUAAACUGCUUUUAACCGGGAAGAAACCCCAGGACGUGUCCUGGGUUGACGGUACCGGAGGAAUAAGCACCGGCUAACUUCGUGCCAGCAGCCGCGGUAAUACGAAGGGUGCAAGCGUUAUCCGGAUUCAUUGGGUUUAAAGGGUGCGUAGGCGGAGCGUUAAGUCAGUGGUGAAAUCCUGCAGCUUAACUGUAGACUUGCCAUUGAUACUGGCGCUCUUGAGUGCGCUUGAAGUGGGCGGAAUGUUGCAUGUAGCGGUGAAAUGCUUAGAUAUGCUACGGAACACCGAUUGCGAAGGCAGCUUACUAUUUCGUAAUUGACGCUGAGGCACGAAAGCGUGGGUAGCGAACAGGAUUAGAUACCCCUGUAGUCC
rnacentral:rRNA from 1 species